rnacentral:misc_RNA from 1 species
UCCGAGUUGACCCCGGCAGUCUCCUAUGAGUCCCCGACAUUACUCGCUGGCAACAUAGGACGAGGGUUGCGCUCGUUGCGGGACUUAACCCAACAUCUCACGACACGAGCUGACGACAGCCAUGCACCACCUGCACACCAACCACAAGGGAACGCCUAUCUCUAGACGCGUCUGGCGCAUGUCAAACCCAGGUAAGGUGGGGAUGACGUUGGAGGAAUUCCA